UACUAUUGUUGACACGUGCUCGCUGGA
rnacentral:piRNA from 1 species